rnacentral:tRNA from 1 species
GUCAGUGUCGUCUAGUGGUUUAGGGACGCGAGCUUCACACGCUCGAGAUCGAGGGUUCGAUCCCCCUCCCUCUGAUA